UGGACAGCCUUGGAGAUUGGAGUUCUCUGUUUAUCCACAGACCAGGUACCACAGGGACAGUGCAAGCUUCCCUAAGCCAUCCAGUGUGCUUCUACAUUCACCUGGAGGGACCUACCCCUGGGAGUAAGAACAUACUUUACUCUCCAUGUCCACUCAGUUUUUAGGAUCU
rnacentral:sRNA from 1 species